rnacentral:rRNA from 1 species
GACGAACGCUGGCGGCGUGCUUAACACAUGCAAGUCGAACGGAAAGGCCCUGCUUUUGUGGGGUGCUCGAGUGGCGAACGGGUGAGUAACACGUGAGUAACCUGCCCUUGACUUUGGGAUAACUUCAGGAAACUGGGGCUAAUACCGGAUAGGAGCUCCUGCUGCAUGGUGGGGGUUGGAAAGUUUCGGCGGUUGGGGAUGGACUCGCGGCUUAUCAGCUUGUUGGUGGGGUAGUGGCUUACCAAGGCUUUGACGGGUAGCCGGCCUGAGAGAGUGACCGGCCACAUUGGGACUGAGAUACGGCCCAGACUCCUACGGGAGGCAGCAGUGGGGAAUCUUGCACAAUGGGCGGAAGCCUGAUGCAGCAACGCCGCGUGCGGGAUGACGGCCUUCGGGUUGUAAACCGCUUUCGCCUGUGACGAAGCGUGAGUGACGGUAAUGGGUAAAGAAGCACCGGCUAACUACGUG